UUCUUUCUUUCUUGAUUUUCUCAUGCUUUUCAUAGACGAGAGAAUGAUUUAGAUGUUUGUUUUAAUCAUUAACACCAAACCCUACACAUACGGAUCUAAUUUGGUUUUUUUCUUUUACAAAUUGAGCGUCUUAAUUAAGCUCUGAUUCUGAUCAUUUCUGUUACUUCGAAUUACUGGUUUUGAAUCCGGGAAAGCAACAUAAUUUUUCCUCUUUUCUGUUCGAAUUCAGAGAUCUGAUUUUCGUUCUGGAGCUCUGUUUUGUAGGCGAACGGUUAUUUUCAGUUGCAACUCUUGUUUGUGUUGUUUUGACAAAUAUUUUGGUUCCUAAACAAAGAUAUUGACCAUUAUUUCAUCGGAUUCAGAUCAGUGAACGUUCGGGAUGUAACGAAAAGCUUUUAGUUUCUAUUGAAUUCAAGUGUUUUUUUUUUAACAAAAAAAGAUUUACUUUCAUUUUGAAUAAAAUUGCAUUCAUUCUCUCUGAAUAGGUUUGGUUCUGUAAUAUUGGACCGAGUCUUUUUGGGGGACUUCGGAGCUCAGAUUGUAGAUAAACAUUGUCCUUUUGGGCGUUGAAUUUGUUUCUUAUUGACGAAGGAACCACAAAGCGUGGGAUCGAAUUAGGGGUUUUGUGAAUUUGCCAGCUUUGGCUGAAGUCAGACGAGACAUGUUGGAGGGACGGUGCCUGGUCUCAAGGGCGUUUUCGAGCACAGGAGACAAGUGGUCUUACAUGCCUUACCGGCUCGAUAUCCCCAACGGGAAGCGCCGGUUGGAAAUCGACGGUGCGGACGAACGCGAAUGUAGACAGAGGAGGUUGUGUAAUACAUUGGAGUGCCGCGAGAGGAGAGCCGGAACGGCUCGACCUUCGCGAGAGGAAGAGGAAGAGGAGGCCCAAAACCCAGAGCAAGAGGAAGACAAAGACCCAGAGCAUGAGCAAUCUGAUGAGCGUGGUGGUGGAGGAGAAGGGGAUUCGUCGGGUUCGGAUUCGGAUUCGGAUUCGGAGUCUGAUUCGACUACGGAUUCCCUUAUCAAUCCUAUCGGCAGAGACAACUCCAUCAGCUGCCUCAUGCGCUGCUCCAGGUCCGAUUACGGUGCGAUUGCCUCGUUGAACCGGAGCUUCUGUUCCUUGAUUCGGACCGGCGAGCUGUACCAGCUGCGGCGGAAGAACGGUAUGAUCGAGCACUGGAUUUACUUCUCGUGCCACCUCUUGGAAUGGGAGGCGUUCGAUCCGAUUUGUCAACGGUGGAUGCAUUUGCCGAGAAUGACUUCAAACGAGUGCUUCAUGUGUUCGGAUAAGGAGUCCUUGGCCGUGGGCACUGAGCUUCUUGUCUUUGGUAAAGAGGUGACCUCCCAUGUCAUCUACAGAUAUAGUCUUCUGACGAACUCGUGGUCCUCCGGGAUGAGAAUGAACGCCCCCAGAUGCUUGUUUGGGUCUGCCAGCCUUGGGGAGAUUGCGAUUCUAGCAGGUGGGUGUGACUCACAGGGGGAGAUCUUGAGCUCCGCAGAGCUGUAUAAUUCGGAGACUCAAACUUGGGAGACACUCCCGAGCAUGACUAAGCCAAGGAAGAUGUGCUCGGGGGUGUUCAUGGACGGAAAGUUUUACGUGAUUGGUGGAAUCGGAGGGCCCGAAUCGAAGGUUCUUGCGUGCGGAGAGGAGUACAAUUUGGAGACCAAGACUUGGACAGAAAUUCCUAACAUGUCUCCUGGACGGAGUGGUGCGGCCAGGGAGAAUGAGAUGCCUGCCACUGCCGAGGCUCCGCCUCUGGUUGCAGUGGUGGGUAAUGAAUUGUAUGCGGCGGAUUAUGCGGACAUGGUGGUGAGGAAGUAUGACAAGGAAAGGCGAGAGUGGCUUACUGUGGGGGGAUUGCCUGAACGGGCGGUCUCGAUGAAUGGUUGGGGUCUAGCAUUUAGAGCCUGUGGAGAUAGGCUCAUAGUGAUUGGUGGACCUAGGGCUUUGGGUGAAGGUUUUAUUGAGCUCAACUCAUGGGUUCCAAGUGAAGGCCCUCCGCAGUGGAACUUGCUUGCGAGAAAGCAAUCGGGUAACUUUGUCUAUAACUGUGCUGUGAUGGGUUGCUGAAGCGAUGGGGAUUUUUUGCGGGUGCCAUGUUUACUGUGAUGGUGCUUUUGCUCACAAUGAUAUAUGUACAAGAUUGGUUUGUCCUUCGACACAGGAGUCCUGCUAAUUGGUGGUUUGGAUUAGGCAAUCUGUGGCCCUUGUUCAAAUAAUUCCUGGCUAGAAGUGUUAUUGUAGAAGGGGGCUAUUCUCUAGUGGCAUUUCCUGAUCAGUGAGAAGUUGGGUUGUUGAGUAAGGCCGGCUGCCGCCGUUUAGUUAUAUGAAAUUUUUGUUUUCAGGUGGCAAAGUUUGACCCUUAAGUUUCCUCUUUUGUGUCCUUUUAACUGGUCGAUCAAACACCACUGUGCAUUGAAUUGCCCUGCUUAGGUUCUGCUUAUUGGUCAAGAGGGUCUCAGUGGCUGUGGGCCACCAAGCAUGCUUAGGCAGUUUUUGCUUGAUCAUAUAAUGUGAUCCAGUAUCUAUACUUGUCUUUUUAUUGCUGCUUCUUGGUUCGCUAGUGUAGGGUGGUGGGCAGUAAAGUAGCUCACUUUGUUGCUUCACCUUCAGAUUGCCCUGCAUUUUACUACUUUUAG